CCUACGGGAGGCAGCAGUGAGGAAUAUUGGUCAAUGGGCGCGAGCCUGAACCAGCCAAGUAGCGUGAAGGAUGACUGCCCUACGGGUUGUAAACUUCUUUUAUAAAGGAAUAAAGUGAGGCACGUGAGCCUUUUUGUAUGUACUUUAUGAAUAAGGAUCGGCUAACUCCGUGCCAGCAGCCGCGGUAAUACGGAGGAUCCGAGCGUUAUCCGGCUUUAUUGGGUUUAAAGGGUGCGUAGAGGGGUUGUUAAGUCAGUUGUGAAAGUUUGCGGCUUAACCGUGAAAUUGCAAUUGAUACUGGCAGGCUUGAGUACAGUUGAGGUAGGCGGAAUUCGUGGUGUAGCGGUGAAAUGCUUAGAUAUCACGAAGAACUCCGAUGGCGAAGGCAGCUUACUAAACUGCCACUGACAUUGAUGCUCGAAAGUGUGGGUAUCAAACAGGAUUAGAUACCCGGGUAGUC
rnacentral:rRNA from 1 species